CGUAGGCAUCAUGAAGAAUAUCUUGUUCAACGUCAUUCAUGGAAUCCCCAUGAAUGUUCACGAUUUCUUCUUGAGGACUUUGGAUGACGAUGCUUUGUCACCAUAUGAGUUGAAGGUUUAUGGACCUUGGAUCAUGAGAUUCAUCAGGAACAGAUCAGGCAUCAACUAUCAAGCUGACUUUCAGAAUCACCUUGGAUAUCUGCCGCCGACCUUCAACUAUCAACUGAAGAAAUUCAAGCCUAUUCCAGUUCCUAACUUGGAGGACAGUUCAUUUUCUUCAUUUCGCACUGCUAAAUGAGAUGAAGAACCAGAAGACACUGCAACUGGUCCAAGAAAGAAGCAUAUCUCCAAGGAUGCUCAUGCCACUACACCAACCAAGAAGUGAAUUUCUUCAAGGGCGUUAGUCCUCACCUUUGUCCCUCUUCGUCACUUGAUGACAAAGGGGGAGAAAUCCGAGAGUUGAUCUUCAAGCAGGAUUCACUAUGGGCUUAUAAAGUUUAUGAAGUUACAAACUCUUGGCUCUUCUGAAUUUUUUGAUGUAAUGAGUUGUAGCUUAAGUCCGAUGGUGUUCUGACUCUUUUGAACGUUUUUCUUCGCAUGCUUAUUACUCAAAGUCUAUUAAUGGAAUUCUGAUGAAAUUCGUGAGACACCAUUUUUCAUCAUGCA
rnacentral:lncRNA from 1 species